rnacentral:rRNA from 1 species
GGAAGUAAAAGUCGUAACAAGGUCUCCGUUGGUGAACCAGCGGAGGGAUCAUUACCGAGUUUACAACUCCCAAACCCAAUGUGAACGUUACCAAACUGUUGCCUCGGCGGGGUCACGCCCCGGGUGCGUCGCAGCCCCGGAACCAGGCGCCCGCCGGAGGAACCAACCAAACUCUUUCUGUAGUCCCCUCGCGGACGUAUUUCUUACAGCUCUGAGCAAAAAUUCAAAAUGAAUCAAAACUUUCAACAGCGGAUCUCUUGGUUCUGGCAUCGAUGAAGAACGCAGCGAAAUGCGAUAAGUAAUGUGAAUUGCAGAAUUCAGUGAAUCAUCGAAUCUUUGAACGCACAUUGCGCCCGCCAGUAUUCUGGCGGGCAUGCCUGUCCGAGCGUCAUUUCAACCCUCGAACCCCUCCGGGGGAUCGGCGUUGGGGAUCGGGACCCCUCACACGGGUGCCGGCCCCGAAAUACAGUGGCGGUCUCGCCGCAGCCUCUCCUGCGCAGUAGUUUGCACAACUCGCACCGGGAGCGCGGCGCGUCCACGUCCGUAAAACACCCAACUUUCUGAAAUGUUGACCUCGGAUCAGGUAGGAAUACCCGCUGAACUUAAGCAUAUCAAUAAGCGGAGGA